rnacentral:rRNA from 1 species
AACGAACGCUGGCGGCAGGCCUAACACAUGCAAGUCGAGCGCGCCCUUCGGGGUGAGCGGCGGACGGGUGAGUAACGCGUGGGAACGUGCCCUUCUCUGCGGAAUAGCCUCGGGAAACUGAGAGUAAUACCGCAUACGCCCUUUGGGGGAAAGAUUUAUCGGAGAAGGAUCGGCCCGCGUUGGAUUAGGUAGUUGGUGGGGUAAUGGCCCACCAAGCCGACGAUCCAUAGCUGGUUUGAGAGGAUGAUCAGCCACACUGGGACUGAGUCACGGCCCAGACUCCUACGGGAGGCAGCAGUGGGGAAUCUUAGACAAUGGGGGCAACCCUGAUCUAGCCAUGCCGCGUGAGUGAUGAAGGCCUUAGGGUUGUAAAGCUCUUUCAGCUGGGAAGAUAAUGACGGUACCAGCAGAAGAAGCCCCGGCUAACUCCGUG